CACGUAGUUAGCCGGUGCUUAUUCUUACGGUACCGUCAUGGGCCUCUCGUAUUAGGAGAAGCUUUUUCGUUCCGUACAAAAGCAGUUUACAACCCGAAGGCCUUCAUCCUGCACGCGGCAUUGCUGGAUCAGGCUUUCGCCCAUUGUCCAAUAUUCCCCA
rnacentral:rRNA from 1 species